AACGUAGGUGGCAAGCGUUAUCCGGAUUCACUGGGCGUAAAGCGCACGCAGGCGGCCUGGUGGGUAGGGCAUGAAAUCUCCUGGCUUAACUGGGAGAGGUUGUCCUAUACCGCCAAGCUUGAGGAUGGGAGAGGGAAGUGGAAUUGCCGGUGUAGUGGUGAAAUGCGUAGAGAUCGGCAGGAACACCAGUGGCGAAGGCGGCUUCCUGGCCCAUUCCUGACGCUCAGGUGCGAAAGCUAGGGGAGCGAAC
rnacentral:rRNA from 1 species